AGGGUUCGAUUCUGGCUCAGGAUGAACGCUGGCGGCGUGCUUAACACAUGCAAGUCGAACGGGAUCCAUCGGGCUUUGCUUGGUGGUGAGAGUGGCGAACGGGUGAGUAAUGCGUGACCGACCUGCCCCAUGCACCGGAAUAGCUCCUGGAAACGGGUGGUAAUGCCGGAUGCUCCAGUUGAUCGCAUGGUCUUCUGGGAAAGCCUUUGCGGCAUGGGAUGGGGUCGCGUCCUAUCAGCUUGAUGGCGGGGUAACGGCCCACCAUGGCUUCGACGGGUAGCCGGCCUGAGAGGGCGACCGGCCACAUUGGGACUGAGAUACGGCCCAGACUCCUACGGGAGGCAGCAGUGGGGAAUAUUGCACAAUGGGCGCAAGCCUGAUGCAGCGACGCCGCGUGAGGGAUGGAGGCCUUCGGGUUGUAAACCUCUUUUGUUAGGGAGCAAGGCAUUUUGUGUUGAGUGUACCUUUCGAAUAAGCACCGGCUAACUACGUGCCAGCAGCCGCGGUAAUACGUAGGGUGCAAGCGUUAUCCGGAAUUAUUGGGCGUAAAGGGCUCGUAGGCGGUUCGUCGCGUCCGGUGUGAAAGUCCAUCGCUUAACGGUGGAUCCGCGCCGGGUACGGGCGGGCUUGAGUGCGGUAGGGGAGACUGGAAUUCCCGGUGUAACGGUGGAAUGUGUAGAUAUCGGGAAGAACACCAAUGGCGAAGGCAGGUCUCUGGGCCGUUACUGACGCUGAGGAGCGAAAGCGUGGGGAGCGAACAGGAUUAGAUACCCUGGUAGUCCACGCCGUAAACGGUGGAUGCUGGAUGUGGGGCCCGUUCCACGGGUUCCGUGUCGGAGCUAACGCGUUAAGCAUCCCGCCUUGGGGAGUACGGCCGCAGCGUAUACUUCAAGGAAAUUGACGGGGG
rnacentral:rRNA from 1 species